rnacentral:rRNA from 1 species
UACGGAGGGGGCUAGCGUUGUUCGGAAUUACUGGGCGUAAAGCGCACGUAGGCGGCUUUGUAAGUUAGAGGUGAAAGCCCGGGGCUCAACUCCGGAAUUGCCUUUAAGACUGCAUCGCUCGAAUUGUGGAGAGGUGAGUGGAACUCCUAGUGUAGAGGUGGAAUUCGUAGAUAUUAGGAAGAACACCAGUGGCGAAGGCG